rnacentral:misc_RNA from 1 species
GUGAAUAUAGCGCAUCUCUUCGAAGAGCGUGACCUCCACUUUCAACUCUGUGCAUUUUUUGGCGAGGGAACGAGACGAAGCGACGCAAGUUGCAGACUCUCGCCUCUUGCGGCUCAUUUUAAACACUAGUUAAAGUAUGUAACGAAAUAUCGAAACAAAAA